rnacentral:rRNA from 1 species
UACGUAGGGUGCGAGCGUUGUCCGGAAUUAUUGGGCGUAAAGAGCUCGUAGGCGGUUUGUCGCGUCGACUGUGAAAACCCGAGGCUUAACCUCGGGCCUGCAGUCGAUACGGGCAGACUAGAGUUCGGUAGGGGAGACUGGAAUUCCUGGUGUAGCGGUGAAAUGCGCAGAUAUCAGGAGGAACACCGGUGGCGAAGGCGGUUCUCUGGGCAUUACCUGACGCUGAGGAGCGAAAGUGUGGGGAGCGAACAGG